rnacentral:misc_RNA from 1 species
AACGCAACUUGCGCUCCUUGGUAUUCCAUGGAGCAUGCCUGUUUGAGUGUCACGUAAACCCUCACCCUUGUGAUGUCAAAGUCGCACGUGGUGGAUUUGGACCGUGCCGUAGCCGGCUCGUCCUGAAAUGCAUUAGCUUGUGCUCGUUAGAGUGCUCGGCAUGGUGUGAUAAUUAUCUGCGCCGUCGCCUUAGGCCUCUUCUGUGUGCGCUGCUUCAAAUCGUCCCCCUGUGGGACAACGUAACAUUAAGCCUUGACCUCAAAUCAGGUAGGACUACCCGCUGAACUUAA